AACGAACGCUGGCGGCAGGCCUAAUACAUGCAAGUCGAGCGCGCCCUUCGGGGUGAGCGGCGGACGGGUGAGUAACGCGUGGGAAUAUGCCCUUCUCUAAGGAAUAGCCUCUGGAAACGGAGAGUAAUACCUUAUACGCCCUUUGGGGGAAAGAUUUAUCGGAGAAGGAUUAGCCCGCGUUAGAUUAGGUAGUUGGUGGGGUAAUGGCCUACCAAGCCUACGAUCUAUAGCUGGUUUGAGAGGAUGAUCAGCCACACUGGGACUGAGACACGGCCCAGACUCCUACGGGAGGCAGCAGUAGGGAAUCUUAGACAAUGGGGGGAACCCUGAUCUAGCCAUGCCGCGUGUGUGAUGAAGGCCCUAGGGUCGUAAAGCACUUUCGCCAGAGAUGAUAAUGACAGUAUCUGGUAAAGAAACCCCGGCUAACUCCGUGCCAGCAGCCGCGGUAAUACGGAGGGGGUUAGCGUUGUUCGGAAUUACUGGGCGUAAAGCGCACGUAGGCGGAUUAGUAAGUUAGAGGUGAAAUCCCAGGGCUCAACCCUGGAACUGCCUUUAAUACUGCUAGUCUUGAGUUCGAGAGAGGUAAGUGGAAUUCCGAGUGUAGAGGUAAAAUUCGUA
rnacentral:rRNA from 1 species